GACGAACGCUGGCGGCGUGCCUAAUACAUGCAAGUCGAACGCAGUGGGGACGGGUGCGUAACACGUUGGUAACCUCCCAUCAGAGGGGAUAACACUUGGAAACAGGUGCUAAACCGAUACUGAUGGAUGGACCCGCGGUGCAUUAGCUAGUUGGUGAGGUAACGGCUAACCAAGGCCACGAUGCAUAGCGGGCGGGGGAGGGUGAUAGGCCACACGGGGACUGGGAAACGGGCCAGACUCAUACGGGAGGCAGCAGUAGGGAAUAUUCGGCAAUGGACGAAAGUCUGACCGAGCAACGCCGCGGGAGUGAAGAAGGUUUUCGGAUCGUAAAAGACUGUUGUUAGGGAAGCGGUAUCUAAACAGAAAGCCACGGCUAACUACGUGCCAGCAGCCGCGGUAAUAC
rnacentral:rRNA from 1 species